UACGUAGGGGGCAAGCGUUGUCCGGAUUUAUUGGGCGUAAAGAGCGUGUAGGCGGCCAUACAGGUCCGUUGUGAAAACUCGAGGCUCAACCUCGAGACGUCGAUGGAAACCGUAUGGCUAGAGUCCGGAAGAGGAGAGUGGAAUUCCUGGUGUAGCGGUGAAAUGCGUAGAUAUCAAGAGGAACACCUGCGGCGAAGGCGGGUUGCUGGGCCGACACUGACGCUGAUGCGCGAAAGCCAGGGGAGCGAACGGG
rnacentral:rRNA from 1 species